UAUGCCUACGGGGGGCAGCAGUGGGGAAUAUUGCACAAUGGGGGAAACCCUGAUGCAGCAACGCCGCGUGAAGGAAGACGGUUUUCGGAUUGUAAACUUCUGUUCUUAGUGAAGAAGAAUGACGGUAGCUAAGGAGCAAGCCACGGCUAACUACGUGCCAGCAGCCGCGGUAAUACGUAGGUGGCAAGCGUUGUCCGGAAUUACUGGGCGUAAAGGGCGCGUAGGCGGUAAUAUAAGUCAGAUGUGAAAGGUGGGGGCUCAACCCCUAGAGGGCAACUGAUACUGUAUAACUUGAGUGUGAGAGG
rnacentral:rRNA from 1 species